UGAGUUUUUGAAAGUUAUAUAACGUUUGAAAUGAUGGUCCGGCGAAAAUUAUUUAAAAUUGGAGAAACAAGAACAGAAAAUGCGCAUAGCUAGUCGGCGUAAUUGGUAUAUACAUAUAAUGAAUAUAAUCUAUAAUAUAAUGAAUGUAGAAGACAACAGUAAUGGUAGUGUAUAGGUCAUUCAAAACUUUAAAAUGUAAUGACAGUGUAAGUCAGUGGCAAAACCUUAUUAACAUGAAGCAGUGUAUAGUUAUCCAAACAAUCGAUAUCUGUUGGACUUUAUAAAAUAGCCUUUUAAAAACACGGGCGCUGAUUGGUCAAAAGCUAAAAAAAACGUGUUUCUAUAACUCGAUAGAAACACGGGGAAUUUUCACGCGGGUUGCGUGGAUUGCGCGGGAGUUUAAAAGACAAAAUACAAACAAUAUUUAAUUUUGAAAAAAGUUGAAAAACGUCCCGAAACGCCGAAGAACCGUUACAAAAAAAGGGCAACACUUUGCUAACUUAGAAAGCGAAGACCUAAAGCACAAAGUAUAAUUAUAGCACACGUUGUAUCUGUUUGACUGUUUACCAAGGUAAGAUAUUUUAAUUUCACUUUGACUUUGUCUUUUUAAAAAAAUAUUUCCUUAAACGUUCACUAACUAUUUAAAGCAGUGCUUUCUUUGCAUGGAAGCAUGUACGUUGUUGAGUGAAUUAUAUACUUAGUAAAGUCAGCCUGUUGUUUUGACAGCGAUAU